rnacentral:rRNA from 1 species
AUUGAACGCUGGCGGCAGGCCUAACACAUGCAAGUCGAACGAGUGGCGGACGGGUGAGUAAUGUAUGGAAACCUGCCUGAUGGAGGGGGAAAACUACUAGAACCGGUAGCUAAUACCGCAUACCAUCGGAUGUGCCCAGACGGGUUUAGCUAGUAGGUGGGGUAAUGGAACACCUAGGCGUCGAUCCCUAGCUGGUCUGCGAGGCUGACCGGCCACACUGUGACUGAGACACGGUCCAGACUCCUACGGGAGGCAGCAGUGGGGAAUAUUGCACAAUGGGCGAAAGCCUGAUGGAGCCAUGCCGCGUGUAUGAAGAAGGCCUUCGGGUUGUAAAGUACUGUCAGCGAGGAGGCGUUACUCGCAGAAGAAGCAACGGCUAACUCCGUGCCAGCAGCCGCGGUAAUUC